UGAUUGAUAGCGUGCGUAAAAAAUAGAC
rnacentral:sRNA from 1 species